rnacentral:rRNA from 1 species
GAGGAGCGGCGCAAGGGAGAGUAACGCGUGGAUACCUGCCCCGAGGUCCGGGAUAGCCCAUCGAAAGGUGGGGUAAUACCGGAUAACAUCUCCGGAUCAAAGGUGUGAUUCCGCCUCGGGAUGGGUCCGCGUCCUAUUAGCUUGUUGGUGGGGUAAUGGCCUACCAAGGCGACGAUGGGUAGUGGGCGUUAGCGCGUGGCCCGCCUCACUGGGACUGAGACACUGCCCAGACACCUACGGGUGGCUGCAGUCGAGAAUCUUCGGCAAUGGGCGCAAGCCUGACCGAGCGACGCCGCGUGCGGGGUGAAGGCCUUCGGGUUGUAAACCGCUGUCAGAGGGGAGGAAGGGUCCGUGAAGAGCGGAACUUGACCUAUCCUCAGAGGAAGUGCGGGCUAAGUUCGUGCCAGCAGCCGCGGUAAGACGAACCGCACAAACGUUAUUCGGAAUCACUGGGCUUAAAGGGUGCGUAGGCGGCCGUUCAAGUCGGGUGUGAAAGCCCUCAGCUUAACUGAGGAAUUGCGCCCGAUACUGUUCGGCUUGAGGGAGACAGAGGUGAGCGGAACUUGCGGUGGAGCGGUGAAAUGCGUUGAUAUCGCAAGGAACACCAGUAGCGAAAGCGGCUCACUGGGUCUCUUCUGACGCUGAGGCACGAAAGCUAGGGUAGCGAAGAGGAUUAGAUACCCUCGUAGUCCUAGCUGUAAACGCUGAGCACUGGAUUGGAGGGUCCUCCAUAGCCUUCCGGUCGUAGCGAAAGUGUUAAGUGCUCCGCCUGGGGAGUAUGGUCGCAAGGCUGAAACUCAAAGGAAUUGGCGGGGGCUCACAAGCGGUGGAGGAUGUGGCUUAAUUCGAGGCUACGCGAAGAACCUUAUCCUGGAUUUGACAUGCUUGGGAAUCCCCUGGAAACAGGGGAGUGCCUUUCGGGGAGCCCUUGCACAGGUGCUGCAUGGCUGUCGUCAGCUCGUGUCGUGAGAUGUCGGGUUAAGUCCCUUAACGAGCGAAACCCUUGUCGUUAGUUGCCAGCGGGUCAUGCCGGGGACUCUAACGAGACUGCCGGUGUUAAACCGGAGGAAGGUGGGGAUGACGUCAAGUCCUCAUGGCCUUUAUGUCCAGGGCUGCACACGUCCUACAAUGGCGUGCACAAAGGGAAGCGAACUCGCGAGAGUAAGCAAAUCCCAAAAAUCACGCCCCAGUUCGAAUUGCAGGCUGCAACUCGCCUGCAUGAAGCCGGAAUCGCUAGUAAUCGCGGGUCAGCAUACCGCGGUGAACGUGUUCCUGAGCAUUGUACACACCGCCCGUCAAGCCACGAAAGUGGGGGGCCGGCGAAGU